CCUACGGGGUGCAGCAGUAGGGAAUCUUUCACAAUGGGCGAAAGCCUGAUGGAGCAACGCCGCGUGCAGGAUGAAGGCCUUCGGGUUGUAAACUGCUUUUAUAAGCGAGAAAUAUGAUGGUAACUUAUGAAUAAGGAUCGGCUAACUACGUGCCAGCAGCCGCGGUCAUACGUAGGAUCCGAGCAUUAUCCGGAGUGACUGGGUGUAAAGAGUUGCGUAGGUGGCAUAAUAAGUAGCUAGUGAAAUCUGGUGGCUCAACCAUUCAGACUAUUAGCUAAACUGUUAAGCUCGAGACCGUUAGGGGUAACUGGAAUUGCUAGUGUAGGAGUGAAAUCCGUAGAUAUUAGAAGGAACACCAAUAGCGUAGGCAGGUUGCUGGGACGGUUCUGACACUAAGGCACGAAAGCGUAGGGAGCAAACGGGAUUAGAUACCCCAGUAGUC
rnacentral:rRNA from 1 species